CCCUGGCUCAGGAUGAACGCUAGCGGCAGGCCUAAUACAUGCAAGUCGAGGGGUAGAGUUAGCUUGCUAACUUGAGACCGGCGCACGGGUGCGUAACGCGUAUGCAAUCUACCUUUAUCUGGGGGAUAGCCCGAAGAAAUUCGGAUUAACACCGCAUAAAAUCACAGUACGGCAUCGUACAAUGAUCAAAUAUUUAUAGGAUAGAGAUGAGCAUGCGUGUCAUUAGUUAGUUGGCGGGGUAACGGCCCACCAAGACCACGAUGACUAGGGGAUCUGAGAGGAUGACCCCCCACACUGGUACUGAGACACGGACCAGACUCCUACGGGAGGCAGCAGUAAGGAAUAUUGGUCAAUGGAGGCAACUCUGAACCAGCCAUGCCGCGUGCAGGAAGACGGCCCUCUGGGUUGUAAACUGCUUUUAUUCGGGAAUAAACCUACUUACGUGUAAGUAGCUGAAUGUACCGAAGGAAUAAGGAUUCGGCAACU
rnacentral:rRNA from 1 species